ACAAAACAGGAGAGCACGAGAGGCCACCGAAAUGGGAGGGCAGACAAUCCAAGUCCUUCCAAAACCACACAAACCUGCCCUCCAUUUCUGUAACUCGAGAGCUUCGUCUAUCCUUGUUUUCAAAAUUAUAGGCUUCGAUCAUCUCCCCAACAAACCCAGAGCCUCCUUUUCUCCCGUUAAGCAAAAGAAAAUCAAGGAGGCCUGCAACUUCGUUUGCAGUCCACCACUGCAAAUCGGUCUGGAAACUGGAAAGUCCAGAGGUUUCUUGAAAUAUUUGCAUCUCAUUGGCGCAAUAUUUUUCACUUUCUGGAUGUGCAAAGUCUGGGUGUACACAUCAUCGGGCCAAACCUUUCCCAGAAUUUACUAACAUUUGAUAAAUGUUAAACGAAGUCCUUCAAUUAAUCUCUCAAGGUGCUCGAAGCUGAUAUUCAGUUCGACAACACUCUAUGUCCAUGAAUUUUACGGACUUCCUGUGUAAUCCUUGCCUCAGAAAACAAUCUCGACGCCGUUGCUGGUGGAGGAACGCCGUCAUACGAGCCCCGGAGCACGCUGCUACUAGCUGAUGCUUGGGCUAUUGAGAAUUUUGCCUCGGUAGCAAAAUGCCUGUCUGGCCAAAUUAUAGGACAGCCAUAAAAUCUGCAAGAGGUUUCCAAGUAUACAAGGAGGUUGUUGGCCUUUCAGGGCUUAACUACGCUUACACAGAUAACACUGCAGUAUACCAUACAAAGCUUACAUGAGUUCUAUUACCGUUUACAAGUCAACCCCACAAUACCAAAGUACAAGAGAAACAAAGAUUGGAGUGUUAACUACCGAAUCGAUUAAAAAACAUUCUGUAGGGGCUGCCCCGCCAUUCAGUUACUCUUGGGAACUUGAGGAGGGGUGAUCAUAUGCCUCACUUCGGGAAUUGAUAUUAGGAGGUGUUAAAUGGACCGCUGGAAUUGGGUUUCGAGUCUCUGAGGAACAUAAUGAGAUGGGUUAUUGAUAAAAGGGUUAGGAGGAGAAGGUGGACAAGAAACCAGUACAUUGGAUGCACAAUAUCAGUGAUGAACACUUUUCCUUUUCUUUGUUUAGAAAAAAAUUGAAAGAGCCACUGGUUUUGAACGUGCUUAAAUGCAAGAUUAUUUGCAAAAUUUUGUUUAAAUUUUUUAAUGUUUAGAUUUUUAUUCCAUAAAAAUUGUGAGAGGAAAUAUAUAAUGAUAGACAAAAAACUAUGUUAAACAAGUUUGGAUGGUUUAAAUUAUAGAAUUAUUUUGGUUGAUGGUA